rnacentral:lncRNA from 1 species
CCACCAAUCAGAGCUCACGCUUAACGUCACAUAAAUAGUCCGGUCGGCUCCUCUCUUCCUCACUGAUCUUUGAAACUACCAGAAAACCUUUUCAAGAGGAACUCCGCACACCGAAAACUGUAAAUGUAUCCUCCACUUUUCCCAGGUCGGGUCGUUUAAGGAUGACUACCAUGUGAUUUCUUUCAGUUGAGGAUCUUACUCGUCAGGAAUUACUUUUUAUAUGAUGAAAAGACCGUUGCAUCGGUUUUGAAGAAGCUUUGGAAGUGCUGAAAAAUGAAAGUGAAAUGCGCAGAUACGACCUCAGCGAACUGAAGUAAUCACUUGAAAGAUUGCUAUACAUGCAAUGCGAUCUGGAUGUCCACACAGCUAAGGCGGGGCUAUUCUGCGUUCCAACACGGGAGUUCCGUUGGCACUCUUCCAUCGCCUCAUGACAUCACCGCAUGACAUCAAUGUUGAACCUAAACCAGUGGUUCACUCUGAGAAUGGACAACAAAAUAACAUGGUAGUCACUCAAUAUCCUGGAGUGGCUUACGGCCCAGCUCAGUUGCAGCAAGGCAAUGCACAAUCACGGCAACAUUUCCAGGGACUCCACCACCAACAGAACUUGCAGUCAAGCAUAGUUGACACUAUACCUGGGGAUAGUGCAUGUACUUCACAGAAGAGAUUCAACAAAAUAAGCAGAGAAGGAAAUGUUAAUUCAUCAGCAUGCGUCUCUGCACAGCACGGCAAUAAUAAUGGGACAUCGUCUAAUAAGAACUCUGUAAAACAUGUUGACUGUUCCAAUGUUCUUGGACCUUUCCUGAAAGGGUCAAAUUUGAGCAAUAAUACUGGAUUGCAACGAAGACAUUCGAAUAGUGCCUUAUCAGCUGCUACAAAUACUGCAGCACAGACAUUUCCUUUACAGUACCAGUAUUCUCCUUUGACUGCAGGCAAGUGGCAGACAUCUUCCCCACAGCUGUCUGCCUUAGUGAAAGAAAAUCCGUCAGAUUCCCAAACCUUUACUACCCCAUCUUCGUCACGUCAUGAAAGACACCGCAAAGGUUCACUCGCUUCUCUAAGCUGUGUACAGACUAAAACACGAAACGUGGAUCAUUUGGGAGGAACUUCCUCCCAUCAGCGGCAGGUCUCAUCUCCCUCUGGAGAAACUGAACUACCUACAGAUGAGGACAUUCAUGCCUUUAUUGCAAAAAGCCUCAAAUAUUUUUGGACUAUUACAAAUGAUGUGCAUUCCAAUAACGGGGACAGGGACUCCACGCUGCAGUCUGACUCCAUGCAGAAGGUUGACAGUUUUGCCCAUCGCCCAACAACAUCUGCCUCUUACAAAGAAGAUGCGGAGAGGCAAAGUCUCAACUAUGCGAUGAUUGAAGAGUUCCCUACUGUAGUCGGACCAGCAGUAGAGGGUGGUUCAAAGGCUAGUGAGUGUGCUGCAUCAGAGAAACAUUCAACAGAGUAUCCACAAAUUAUGACUAAAGUUUCUGCCACUUGCACAAAGAAUGAAGAUGGGAGGCCAGUGGUCGCCAAAGCAGUGCCUGGAUUGACCUGGGAUGAAGUGACUGAGAAGCAACUCAGUUCAAUGUUCAACGGCAGUUUGUCGGAGGAUACAUACAAGUCUCUUAGGUUAAAUAUUCACAACAAUUUGGAUGACGAAGGCCAAGUGCCUGGUGUUUCUUGGGCUCUCAAACACGUGAUUGAGAAAGGAGAUGCAGCCCUAAAACCAGUGGAGGCAGUAGGGUCAGACAGUGUGCAAGAUAUGACUGAUGUCUCAGAGGAUCUUCAAACUAGGUCAAGUUCAGUGGUUUCCCAAAACAUAACAUUGGAACCCACAUCACUCAUGGAAAAUCAAGAUGCAAAGAAAAACAUUGACGAUCAACAACAUUACACCAAUAUUUAUUCAUCAGUUGAUGAAAUUCAGAUUCAUAAUGUUGUAUCAAUUCCUACAAACUACAGUGAUGGGUUGAGCAACCUAAGAAGUUCCGAAGGUGCGAGGAAGAAUGCAUGUUCUGUGCUCUCUCAAACUGAUUUAAGUCUAGCCCUCUCUGAAAACGAAGUCAAAAGUCAUGCCCCUCUAUCUGAAGUACCCUUUGUAAAACAAUACGAAGACAUUACAGAUGAUGAAUCCCAACUCUCAAACACAGAGCAUGAGGAAUUGAGCUUUCUAGCAGGUUUAGAAGACUCUCAGCAUGACGAAGAAAGUCCACCAGAGUGUAUGGCUGUGGCUUCAUCUACACAAGUACGUGAACCCACUGAUGAGCAGUCACCUUUUGAAAAUGAAGGCGCUGGACAUGUGACUAAAUGGGACAGUGAGAGACCAUCAAACUCUGUCUCAUGUAGUCCUUUCUCUUGUUGUGACGAUGAUGAUGACGAAGACUAUAUGUUAUGCAUACCUUUAACCAUUUCAGACCUUACAUUUGAAUCUGAAGAUGAAGACCAGGAUAGGCAUGAAAAAAAUGUGCUCGAUGGUGGGGAAACAGGUGACCCUGUAACACUGUGUUACUCAAGUCCGACCCACUGUCAAUCUCUAAAACAAGUACUUGCUUCUGUUUCUUCACCGUUGAAGGUGUUUGACACACCUGCAAGUUUUUGUGAAGCUAUGCGACCUAAGAAAAUAUGUGAGGCAUCAGGCUGGAGCUCACAUAAACAUGAAAUGGACUCUGAGGGAGAAAGACCUGCACCUCAGAACAAGAGAGAGUCUGUAGAGAGCUGUGACACUGAAGACAGUUGUGAUUACUCAUCUGCAACCGAAAACAAUUAUUUGACAGUGUCACGGAAGUUGUUGAAGAAGAGGGCAGCACCUAAGCUCUCAGAUGAUUCUGGGUCUGAAAGUGAAGGCUAUGAGGGUACAUAUGUGCAACAAGGUCAAACCAGCACCGUGGACAUGUCCGGCUGUAUGCAAAGACAUAGUCCACAGAUUGAAGCCAAAGAUUGCUGCUCUAAGGAUGUUCAACCCAAGACCAAUGGCCUAAAUAUUCCUAAAAAUGAAGAUAUAAUUAUUAUUUCUGACUCAGAUGAUGAAAGUGACCAAAGCGAGGAUGAAAGUGACCAAAGCGAGGAUGAAAGUGGCAAAAAACAAACAAAAAGGAAGCGAUUGUUCUCUUCCAGUUCAGAGGACAGUGUCUCCCCAUCUAGUCAACAGAGACAUUGGCCCAAAACUGUGGACAGUCUGUGUGGAACUGUUGAAGAAAAGUUUAAAAUCAACAGACUGCCAUCUGCAGAAUCACCAGCAACAAAGCGGCAAUCUAAAUGUUUUGAUACACCGGUUGAAGAAGAGAUGUUGGAUGCAUACUCUAACCUAUCGCGCAGUACAGGAAAGAGUGGGGAGCUGUUUAAAACCAAAGCUGCCUCUGCGCAUAUUCAACACAAGACCAACAGCAUUAUAGUCAUUGACCCUGACACGGAGAAUGACGAUAACGACGAUGAAAAGCCAAGCAGGAAGAGAUUUUUGUCUUCAGGGUCAGACAGUGAUCAGAAGAGACGGUCACAUAAAACUGUGGACAGUGAUUAUGAAAUUGCGAAAGAAAAGCAUCAAGAAACCAGACCGUCUUCGGCAGACACAUCAAAUUCCCGGCACCAGUCUAAACUCCAUAAUACCCAACACAAGACCACCAGACCAACAACCACAAAAAGAAGAGUAGUUUUCCAUGAUUCUGACAAAGAGGUUAAAAAAAGCCAUUUCCGCAAAAAGAAGGCAAGUACAAAAAGAAUACACUCAUCAGGAUCAGAAGACUGUGGCAAUGAAUUAUUUGCUACAAAAAACAGACGUUUAACUGAAACUGACGACCGUCUUUGUCGAGAUGCUAACGAAAAGGCUAAAAAAAGCAGACUGUCAUUUGAAGAUUCACCAGAGAAGCAGUCCCAGUCUGUGGACAAGAAGGCCGACUCAACUUUAGGUUCUAAUCCUGUGAUUCCUCGCCUUGCUUUUGUGAAGCCUUCUCAACCCAAUAAAGACUUAUUAACACUUUUUAAAGAACCUAGAGAUGGAACUCUGUCCCCGAAGGCCUCCACAGCAUCCAGCAAAAAGACUUACUCCCUUGAAAAAGAAUUUAAAUUGCUCAAACCAAAACCUGCAAAUGAUGGACAACAUGCAAUAAAGAAUAAUGUUCAGGCCAAUGUACAAAAACAGUAUAGAAGACAGCUUUCCUUACCUAUGCAGGAAGGCUCAUCCACCUCCUUCAUGUCUUCAAUUGGAAAACUUUCUGAAGCCAGACAAAGCUCCUCCUCAAGAGAUUUGUCUGGAGAAAACACCACCUCCUCUCGUCUCCCUGCAUCCAAGCAGAGCACAUCUAUUCCCAGACAUUCGUCUUCAUCCAAACUACAGCGCUCUCUCUCUUACACAAACCCCUCAACACCAAAUAGUUCUUGCACUCCCACAAAAAGCCCAUCGCCAAUGCAAUCAUCAGCAAGUAAACAAGUGGCCAAAGUCUGGAAGAAUGGCUAUUUUCCAACCAGGAAAGAUAAAAAAUCGGAAGAGAACUUAAGAACCAGGAAUGACCACCAUGACGGGGCACGCAUACUGAGCAACAACUCUCACAAGUCUGCAACCCCCAUGAUGAAGAAGGCCAAGUGUGAUGCCAUACAGUUGACAAAGGCCAGAAGUCGUGACGUCCCAAGGAAACGAAGAUACUAUGGAGGUGAAGGUUACAAGUGGUCAGAAAAAUAAACCAUGGCAAAGACAACAAAAGGUUCCAGCAGGAAGGGGAAAAAGUGUAGCACCCAUUCAAGACUCCAUCAAUAAGAAAAGGGGGGCAGUGUCUACCAAUCCAAAUCAAGUUUGUCACUCCCAAAGGGACAGGUGGGUGAUUGGUGACACAGCAGUUAUCGCUUCGAUCUUUAGAUUUUUCUAUAUUUUAACUGUCCAUGCACACAUGUUUUUGAAUGUUUUGAAAGUAUUAUCUUUUAUCAGUGUAGUGUAUUCUACUUACUACUUUAACACAAAUUAUGUCUGCAACCCUAAUGCAUAUACCUAUCCACCUGGUGUGUUAAGUACAGCCUACUAUUAAAAAGCACAGACAAUGUAAGCACUAUAAUCAGUAUGUGUUCGGAACUUGUGUGUAUCUUAACUGCAGGAAUUCCUAAAAGCACAUGGUCUAUUAAGUUGUCAAACAUAAGUUUCCUGUUGCGCAGCUAACAAACAUAUCCCACUGGAUAAGAAGGAAUUAAGACUCACAAAAAAGGAAGGGGUUCUGCAGACCGCUGAUGUUCACUGCUUUGUAAAUAAAGUAAACUUCAUGAAGCCAAGGGAUUCGGACUGAGUCAUUCUACAUGGAAAAGGACAUAGAUUAUCUUUGUAUGUAGAAGGACAACGGUUCCUCUGACAGACGAACGAAGUGCGCGCUUAAAAAUCUGUAAAAUUUGACUCC